rnacentral:ribozyme from 13 species
AAAAAAAAAAGGGAGAAAGGUGGAUGAAAGUUUCCUUUCCCCUCUCCUUCCCCUCUCCUUCUCUUUUCUUCUUUCUUUUUUUUUCUC